CCCAACAUUUUAUUUGUGCAUGUCCAUCCUCUUCUUCAAUACUUCAAUUCCAGGUCACAAACCAUUGCUGCAAAAAUGAACAAUUCAGAAAGAAGACCAAUGGAAGGCAACUGGUUUUAAACCUAAGCAGGGGUCAAGGUGUUUCCAAUAUCGAGAACGAAUCGGUACUUCACAUCGGCCUUGACA